GGAUGCGAUUAUACCAGCAGUAAAGCACCGGAUCCCAUCAGAACUCCGAACCUCCUGGGAAGUCCUCGUGUUGCAUACA
rfam:Triticum aestivum genome assembly, contig: Triticum_aestivum_CS42_TGACv1_scaffold_426976_5BS